rnacentral:tRNA from 1 species
GCAUUUUUAGUUAAAAAGAAAAUAUACCCCUUCUAAGGGUGGGAUCCUGAUACUCAGGGGAAUGCA